rnacentral:rRNA from 1 species
GAUGAACGCUAGCUACAGGCUUAACACAUGCAAGUCGAGGGGCAUCAGGAAGAAAGCUUGCUUUCUUUGCUGGCGACCGGCGCACGGGUGAGUAACACGUAUCCAACCUGCCCUUUACUCGGGGAUAGCCUUUCGAAGGAAAGAUUAAUACCCGAUAGCAUAAUGAUUCCGCAUGGUUUCAUUAUUAAAGGAUUCCGGUAAAGGAUGGGGAUGCGUUCCAUUAGGUUGUUGGUGAGGUAACGGCUCACCAAGCCUUCGAUGGAUAGGGGUUCUGAGAGGAAGGUCCCCCACAUUGGAACUGAGACACGGUCCAAACUCCUACGGGAGGCAGCAGUGAGGAAUAUUGGUCAAUGGGCGGUAGCCUGAACCAGCCAAGUAGCGUGAAGGAUGAAGGCUCUAUGGGUCGUAAACUUCUUUUAUAUAAGAAUAAGGUGCAGUAUGUAUACUGUUUUGUAUGUAUUAUAUGAAUAAGGAUCGGCUAACUCCGUGCCAGCAGCCGCGGUAAUACGGAGGAUCCGAGCGUUAUCCGGAUUUAUUGGGUUUAAAGGGAGCGUAGGUGGACUGGUAAGUCAGUUGUGAAAGUUUGCGGCUCAACCGUAAAAUUGCAGUUGAUACUGUCAGUCUUGAGUACAGUAGAGGUGGGCGGAAUUCGUGGUGUAGCGGUGAAAUGCUUAGAUAUCACGAAGAACUCCGAUUGCGAAGGCAGCUCACUGGACUGCAACUGACACUGAUGCUCGAAAGUGUGGGUAUCAAACAGG